UCAUAGCCCUGAUGGGAACGGCAUCCUUUUGUGGUUCCGUUUGUAACGGGAUCACAAAAAAUAUAGUGUGCAGCAGGAUUAGCU
rnacentral:sRNA from 1 species